UACCUUUUCCUGUUCUUGAGAGGGCCUCUCACUUGACGCCACUGUGAUAUAAUCCGACCUUUUCUCGUCUUUCAUUUUUCCAGAUUUUCGUUUUGUUUGUUAAAAAACAAGAAGUCAUUGAGGGGGGUUUUGGCGAGUUUUAACCCAUCAUUUCCUGAUGCCAGAGCCUAGAAAACAUCCUUUGAACCCCAGUAAAUCCUGCAAAAAAGUCGCUGACACCAAAUCA
rnacentral:misc_RNA from 1 species